AGCCCCUAGCGCAGACGGCGGAGAGCAGAGAGGGAGCGCGCCUUGGCUCGCUGGCCUUGGCGGCGGCUCCUCAGGAGAGCUGGGGCGCCCACGAGAGGAUCCCUCACCCGGGUCUCUCCUCAGGGAUGACAUCAUCCGUCCACCUCCUUGUCUUCAAGGACCACCUCCUCUCCAUGCUGAGCUGCUGCCAAGGGGCCUGCUGCCCAUCUACACCUCACGAGGGCACUAGGAGCACGGUUUCCUGGAUCCCACCAACAUACAAAGCAGCCACUCACUGACCCCCAGGACCAGGAUGGCAAAGGAUGAAGAGGACCGGAACUGACCAGCCAGCUGUCCCUCUUACCUAAAGACUUAAACCAAUGCCCUAGUGAGGGGGCAUUGGGCAUUAAGCCCUGACCUUUGCUAUGCUCAUACUUUGACUCUAUGAGUACUUUCCUAUAAGUCUUUGCUUGUGUUCACCUGCUAGCAAACUGGAGUGUUUCCCUCCCCAAGGGGGUGUCAGUCUUUGUCGACUGACUCUGUCAUCACCCUUAUGAUGUCCUGAAUGGAAGGAUCCCUUUGGGAAAUUCUCAGGAGGGGGACCUGGGCCAAGGGCUUGGCCAGCAUCCUGCUGGCAACUCCAAGGCCCUGGGUGGGCUUCUGGAAUGAGCAUGCUACUGAAUCACCAAAGGCACGCCCGACCUCUCUGAAGAUCUUCCUAUCCUUUUCUGGGGGAAUGGGGUCGAUGAGAGCAACCUCCUAGGGUUGUUGUGAGAAUUAAAUGAGAUAAAAGAGGCCUCAGGCAGGAUCUGGCAUAGAGGAGGUGAUCAGCAAAUGUUUGUUGAAAAGGUUUGACAGGUCAGUCCCUUCCCACCCCUCUUGCUUGUCUUACUUGUCUUAUUUAUUCUCCAACAGCACUCCAGGCAGCCCUUGUCCACGGGCUCUCCUUGCAUCAGCCAAGCUUCUUGAAAGGCCUGUCUACACUUGCUGUCUUCCUUCCUCACCUCCAAUUUCCUCUUCAACCCACUGCUUCCUGACUCGCUCUACUCCGUGGAAGCACGCUCACAAAGGGCUAAUCUCGGGCCUUGUCGAAGGAAGAGGCUGCAGACGUUAAUGAGGUUAGCUGCUGGAUUCCAGUAUUCGUCGCAUAAGGAUCCUUCUUUGUCUGCGAAGGAAAAACACACUGAUUAUCAUAAUGAGUUCCUGACCUGGCCAUCCCGGGGUGCCCUUGACCAGCCCCGUGUCUCCUCAGGGUGUCCCAGCACCAGCCUGGCACAGAGUGGGGCUCAGUUAGAGUAUGUGGGAUGUUGGUUUCGCCAGGCACGUGGGCCGUGGCCCGGCUGGGUCGGCUGAAGAACUGCGGAUGGAAGCUGCGGAAGAGGCCCUGAUGGGGCCCACCAUCCCGGACCCAAGUCUUCUUCCUGGCGGGCCUCUCGUCUCCUUCCUGGUUUGGGCGGAAGCCAUCACCUGGAUGCCUACGUGGGAAGGGACCUCGAAUGUGGGACCCCAGCCCCUCUCCAGCUCGAAAUCCCUCCACAGCCACGGGGACACCCUGCACCUAUUCCCACGGGACAGGCUGGACCCAGAGACUCUGGACCCGGGGCCUCCCCUUGAGUAGAGACCCGCCCUCUGACUGAUGGACGCCGCUGACCUGGGGUCAGACCCGUGGGCUGGACCCCUGCCCACCCCGCAGGAACCCUGAGGCCUAGGGGAGCUGUUGAGCCUUCAGUGUCUGCAUGUGGGAAGUGGGCUCCUUCACCUACCUCACAGGGCUGUUGUGAGGGGCGCUGUGAUGCGGUUCCAAAGCACAGGGCUUGGCGCACCCCACUGUGCUCUCAAUAAAUGUGUUUCCUGUCUUAACAAAAA
rnacentral:lncRNA from 1 species